rnacentral:rRNA from 1 species
CCUAGGGGGUGCAGCAGUGGGGAAUAUUGGACAAUGGGCGAAAGCCUGAUCCAGCCAUGCCGCGUGUGUGAAGAAGGCCUUCGGGUUGUAAAGCACUUUCAGUGGGGAAGAAAGCCUUGGGGCUAAUACCCUCGAGGAAGGACAUCACCCACAGAAGAAGCACCGGCUAACUCCGUGCCAGCAGCCGCGGUAAUACGGAGGGUGCGAGCGUUAAUCGGAAUUACUGGGCGUAAAGCGCGCGUAGGCGGUCUGAUAAGCCGGUUGUGAAAGCCCCGGGCUCAACCUGGGAACGGCAUCCGGAACUGUCAGGCUAGAGUGCAGGAGAGGAAGGUAGAAUUCCCGGUGUAGCGGUGAAAUGCGUAGAGAUCGGGAGGAAUACCAGUGGCGAAGGCGGCCUUCUGGACUGACACUGACGCUGAGGUGCGAAAGCGUGGGUAGCAAACAGGAUUAGAUACCCCAGUAGUC